rnacentral:rRNA from 1 species
GACAGAGGGUGCAAACGUUGUUCGGAAUUACUGGGCGUAAAGCGCGUGUAGGCGGCUUGGCAAGUCGGGUGUGAAAGCCCCGGGCUCAACCUGGGAAGUGCACUCGAAACUGCUUGGCUUGAGUACUGGAGAGGGAAGCGGAAUUCUCGGUGUAGAGGUGAAAUUCGUAGAUAUCGAGAGGAACACCGGUGGCGAAGGCGGCUUCCUGGACAGUGACUGACGCUGAGACGCGAAAGCGUGGGGAGCAAUCAGG